rnacentral:lncRNA from 1 species
UAAGUACAACAAGCGUAAAGUUGAACUCAGAUAUGGAACUCCAAGUUUCAUAACCACUUCAAGGGUCUCAUUUGCAUAUAAUGUAUGAACAAUCAUAGGUAUACUAAAAAGUAACACCUUUAGGGCGUAGUUCGACUGGUAGACCAAAGUACCGUCAUAACAACGCUUGAACUUUAGGUCAAGGCAUAAAUUAGUUUUCCAAAGAUCAUUCAUCUCAAAUUCCGCCUUCAGGUGUGAGGCGGUUUUCUCAAGCUCUUCCAGAGUCUUAGUAAGAUUUAUGUCAACGACAUAAACUGUAACUUUAGCAAUUCGGAAUAAAACUUCAUAGUUUAACAUGCAAGGGCAUACUUUAUAUCCUUAACUGAUCAAAUAAUCACUUCGACGGGUAUACCACAUCUGCCGGAUUGUUUCAAUCCAUAAGUGAAUGCCUCAAACGAAUUAAGAGGGUGUUUCGUGGUUUGGAAUUAUUUGAACUAGUCUAUGUAAUUCUUCGGGAACCUACAUGUAAAUCUCUAUAUCUUUAUCCCUAUGGAGAAACACUAAUCAUGUUUCAUAAUAUUGUAGCCAAUCACAAGACGUUUGAGAGAAACCUUGCGCAAUAAGGUAUGCAUCAUAUCGCACUAUUUCAUUCAUCUCAAUACACUUCCUUUCCCACUUGUAACACAACAGGGUUACCUUGGGCAGUGUAGGAAUGAUAGAUCCAAACACACUUUUGUAAGGAAUUUUACUUGGAUUGUAAUUUCGGUUGUCCAAUCAGUUCUGCGUUGUCACUACUCAAUAGAACAUGGUUCAAUAUCGUCGCUUUUCAUUUAUGUUGGUUGCUACCAUAUAAGUGAAAACAUCAUCGAUGAUAAUCUUAUUUCAAUUCCUUUUUUCAUCCAAACUAGUAUACUGGACCAAGAACUUCAAGUCUCAGGAGUAAUUCGGAUUAAUCUCAUGAGAUGGAAAUGAUUUGAGAUAGUGAUUAAGUAUGGAUUCAUUAUGUGUCAUGACCUUCCUCUUCUAGGGAAGUGAAUCUUAUGAACCGAAUGAUUUGUCAUGCUCCAGGCCAAGAUAGAUUGAUUGGCUAUCCGUCAGUGUACCAGACUAUCCAACAAGGGCAGCACACCUUUCAAGGAUGUUGACUAGACGUCUAUUAAGUACG